GACGAACGCUGGCGGCGUGCCUAAUACAUGCAAGUAGAACGCUGAAGCUUGGUGCUUGCACCGAGCGGAUGAGUUGCGAACGGGUGAGUAACGCGUAGGUAACCUGCCUGGUAGCGGGGGAUAACUAUUGGAAACGAUAGCUAAUACCGCAUAAGAGUAGAUGUUGCAUGACAUUUGCUUAAAAGGUGCAAUUGCAUCACUACCAGAUGGACCUGCGUUGUAUUAGCUAGUUGGUGAGGUAACGGCUCACCAAGGCAACGAUACAUAGCCGACCUGAGAGGGUGAUCGGCCACACUGGGACUGAGACACGGCCCAGACUCCUACGGGAGGCAGCAGUAGGGAAUCUUCGGCAAUGGACGGAAGUCUGACCGAGCAACGCCGCGUGAGUGAAGAAGGGUUUCGGAUCGUAAAGCUCUGUUGUAAGAGAAGAACGAGUGUGAGAGUGGAAAGUUCACACUGUGACGGUAUCUUACCAGAAAGGGAUGGCUAACUACGUG
rnacentral:rRNA from 1 species